GCAAGUCGAGCGGAACGACGGAGUGCUUGCACUCCGGGCGUCGAGCGGCGGACGGGUGAGUAACGCGUGGGAAUCUACCCUUUGGCGGGGGAUAGCCCGGGGAAACUCGGAUUAAUACCGCAUACGCCCUUUUGGGGAAAGCGGCCCUCUGAUUCAUGGUCGCGCCGAAGGAUGAGCCCGCGUCAGAUUAGCUAGUUGGUGGGGUAAAGGCCUACCAAGGCCGCGAUCUGUAGCUGGUCUGAGAGGAUGAUCAGCCACAUCGGGACUGAGACACGGCCCGAACUCCUACGGGAGGCAGCAGUGGGGAAUCUUGGACAAUGGGCGCAAGCCUGAUCCAGCCAUGCCGCGUGUGUGAAGAAGGCCUUCGGGUUGUAAAGCACUUUCAGCGAGGAGGAAAAGGCAGGUGUUAAUAGCACUCUGUUUUGACGGUACUCGCAGAAGAAGCACCGGCUAAUUUCGUGCCAGCAGCCGCGGUAAUACGAAAGGUGCAAGCGUUAAUCGGAAUUACUGGGCGUAAAGCGUGCGCAGGCGGUUACGUGUGUCGGAUGUGAAAGCCCCGGGCUCAACCUGGGAAUUGCAUUCGAAACUGCGUGACUAGAGUGUGG
rnacentral:rRNA from 1 species